AGCUUUGGGGAGGCCUGGGUAAUCUGCAUCCUGAGGUUCCAGGCGGCCCUGAGGUAGGACUCGACAUACGAGCCAUAUCCUCUAGGGAUUA
rnacentral:miRNA from 10 species